rnacentral:rRNA from 1 species
UACGGAGGGGGCUAGCGUUGUUCGGAAUUACUGGGCGUAAAGCGCACGUAGGCGGCUUUGUAAGUUAGAGGUGAAAGCCCGGGGCUCAACUCCGGAAUUGCCUUUAAGACUGCAUCGCUAGAAUUGUGGAGAGGUAAGUGGAAUUCCGAGUGUAGAGGUGAAAUUCGUAGAUAUUCGGAAGAACACCAGUGGCGAAGGCAGCUCGCUGGGACGUUACUGACGCUGAGACGCGAAAGCUAGGGGAGCAAACAGG